ensembl:antisense Gm17034 predicted gene 17034
AGUUUCAUUUCUCCCACGACAGGAGCCUGACAUGACUCUUCCUCCAGAGUUAGAGGUGGAGCCAGGACGAACUCUAAAGAAAAGAAACCCCAACCAAAAAGGGAAGCUGGUAUCAUCCAACCUUUAAAUUAGUCCACAUCCCUCCAGAGCCACGCCAACGGAGGAGGAAGCCUGGAGCAGGCAGGGCCCUUCACAUCUAGAAUACCAGCACCAAGGAGGCUGAGCCAGGAGAAUUACAAAUUCAAGGCCAGCCUUGGCUACCUAGCUGGUCUCCUCAAAACAAAACAGAAAUCUUGGGAAGGAAGAAACACAAAGAUCGCUGGAGCAUUUUAAAUUAGCCGCAUGGUUAACAGGUCUUCCUUCGGCCACUCAAUCCCUGGUGUCAGGGCAUUUGGCUGCCAGGGUCACCAUAUUUUUUUGGUAUGUGAGAUGAAAACCUGAUUCCUGAAGGGCUCUGUCCAUUUUGCCUUGAUUGUCAAGAAGCUCAGAGUUCUGCACUCAACUCCUGCUGAUACCUCCUUGGUCAAGAAAUCCUUUGACCAAAGCUAACCUAAGUCACCAAAUCCUCUGAGGGCACUCCUUCCUGGCAGAGACUUGAGGAGAUCAAACAGGAUAAGUGACUGCAGCAUCUCAGGACAUCAGAGCAAAGCCAGGAAAGGAGCCAGAAACACAGCCGACGCCCCCCACCCCACUCCACUCUCCAGUCCUUGGCUAUUUCCAUUAACAUCUAGAACAUUUUCCUCCAGCGGUCCUAGAAGGACCACUUCAAGUUCAAGGCCUACCUGACUUCUUAUCACUUAGGCUCCUCCUGAAGAAAAAACUACAUCAGCUAUCUCCAACCUCAACUCCAGCCUGGCCUCCUACAGGACAGUUAGGAUAGGCCCUGCCUUUUGUGAGUGGCUCGGUCUUGCUUAUUUGAGAUCAACAACAAAGGGAUAUGAGGCAGUAUCACACAGCAUGAGAACGUGCCACCAGCCACCACCUACCUACACAGACACAAAUGUGUAUCACAAGAUGAUCAGUGAAAGAAGCAGGCUCAGGAGGGAACAACCCACCCUGGGAGUCCACUCGCCUGAAUCCAAAAGCCAGGUCUGUGGUGUUGAUACAAGUCAUACCGGUCCCAGGUUCAGUGGUGCCUGCCUGGAAUCCUGGCACUUAGGAGUUGGAGGAGGAGGAGAAUCAGUGUUUAAGGUCAUCCUUACUUAGGCUUUGACGAGGAAACCACGGCUUGGAGACAUUUCCCCAGACCACAAGCCUAGUCCCUGGCAAGGCCCACAUCCUCAGGUGGUCAGUUGGUCCACUAGGCACCCCAACCUGGGGCAGGCACAGGUAUGUCCACCCUGGAAAAGCUGGCAAAUGGUAUCCAUGUCCUCAUUAAUUACAGUGCUCACAACUCCUCCAGCAGGACCAAGGCUGUGCACACAGGGAACAGCAAAUGUAUGCCAUGCUGUGGUCGAGGGAAGACCAAGUGUCUAAUCGAGGAGGAAGGGGUGAGCCAGGGAAGACGCUGAAAGCGUUAGCUGCAUCCCCAGUCUUCUAAACGCAGCUGAUGGAAAAUAACAGAUCUGCUGAACAAACGCUUUCCUCAAACGGGGAAGAGGAGGUUCUUUGCUGGGGCAGCCCUGCCAUCUUGGGGAAGACUCCAGCUCUGACUGCUCAUGAAUGUGGAAGAGUAGGGAGCAUGCAGGCCACUCCUCCAAGAUCCUGUUGCCCCAUUGUGAGUCACAGGCCUUCCUGUUCAUCCAGUUCUUACUCUCAACCACGUGGAAUGAGACAGACCAGGUGGCAGCACUUGCCAGGAGCCAAGAGAUGGGCAUUGGGAAUACCCAGCCUGAGCCCGCCAGUCCCUGGAUUAGAUAUUUCAUCCUGGAGGGAGGGAGUGUUGCAACAAACAACAGGUCCCAGGUGUAUCUGACACUGGCUUGGUCCAUUUACCCAUGAACUGACUGAAUAGUAGACCAAGUGUGCCAGGGCUGGGCACAGAAGACACCAGGGUAAAGGAGACGGCAGACUCUGCCAACAAGAAGCUCAGUCCAUAGCAAGAGGCCUUACAAACCCAAGGUGACACACACCAGUAGUUUCUCUUCCAAGGACCACUUUUUGUUUGUUUAUUCACUUGUUUGCCUGGGUUUUGAGAUGGUAGCCCAGGUUACCCCUCAAACCAAAGGCAAUCCCCAUGCACUGGUCACUCAAGUGCUAGUAUUUCGAGUGGGUGGCACAUUUAGCUUCU